rnacentral:tRNA from 1 species
CAAUCAGGAGUUUUACAGAAUAUUUGCAUUGGAAGCAUAAGGUCUAAAGUUAGUUUAGUUGGUUGA